GGUUUCUUGUAUAAAUAAGAGAUUUGACCUGCCCACUGAUUUUUGAAGGGCCGCAGUAUUUUGACUGUGCAAAGGUAGCAUAAUCAUUAGUCUUUUAAUUGAAGGCUGGAAUGAAUGGUUGGACAAGGUGAAUAUUGUAUCAAUUUAAUAAAGUAGAACUUAUAUUUUGAGUAAAAAGACUUAAAUGUGAUUGAGGGACGAGAAGACCCUAUAGAGUUUUAUAAUUAUUUUUUUGUUUAUGGUUAUAAAGAUUUAUAUUAUGUAAUUAAAUAAUUAUUUAAUUGGGGUGAUUGAGAAAUAUGUGGAACUUUUUUUAAUUGUAUAUGUAGAUAAAUAGAUUUAAUGAUCCAUUAUUUGUGAUUAUAAGAUUAAAUUACCUUAGGGAUAACAGCAUAAUUUUUUUUGAGAGUUCUUAUUGAGAGAAAAGAUUAUGACCUCGAUGUUGGAUUAAGAUAAAUAUUAGGUGUAGGUGUUUAAAUAUUAGGUCUGUUCGACCUUUAAAAUCUUACA
rnacentral:rRNA from 1 species